rnacentral:rRNA from 1 species
CCUACGAGUGGCUGCAGUGAGGAAUAUUGGUCAAUGGACGAGAGUCUGAACCAGCCAAGCAGCGUGAAGGAUGACUGCUCUAUGGGUUGUAAACUUCUUUUAUAUGGGAAUAAAACGUUCCACGUGUGGGAUUUUGUAUGUACCAUAUGAAUAAGGAUCGGCUAACUCCGUGCCAGCAGCCGCGGUAAGACGGAGGAUCCGAGCGUUACCCGGAUUUAUUGGGUUUAACGGGAGCGUAGGUGGAUUGUUAAGUCAGUUGUGAAAGUUUGCGGCUCAACCGUAAAAGUGCAGUUGAAACUGGCAGUCUUGAGUACAGUAGAGGUGGGCGGAAUUCGUGGUGUAGCGGUGAAAUGCUUAGAUAUCACGAAGAACUCCGAUUGCGAAGGCAGUUCACUGGACUGCAACUGACACUGAGGCUCGAAAGUGUGGGUAUCAAACAGGAUUAGAUACCCGAGUAGUC